UGGGGAAUUUUGGACAAUGGGGGCAACCCUGAUCCAGCCAUGCCGCGUGUGCGAAGAAGGCCUUCGGGUUGUAAAGCACUUUUGGCGGGAAAGAAAAGGCGCUGGCCAAUACCUGGCGCCGAUGAUGGUACCCGCAGAAUAAGCACCGGCUAACUACGUGCCAGCAGCCGCGGUAAUACGUAGGGUGCAAGCGUUAAUCGGAAUUACUGGGCGUAAAGCGUGCGCAGGCGGUUCGGAAAGAGAGAUGUGAAAUCCCAGGGCUUAACCUUGGAACUGCAUUUUUAACUCCCGGACUAGAGUAUGUCAGAGGGGGGUGGAAUUCCACGUGUAGCAGUGAAAUGCGUAGAUAUGUGGAGGAACACCGAUGGCGAAGGCAGCCCCCUGGGAUGAUACUGACGCUCAUGCACGAAAGCGUGGGGAGCAAACA
rnacentral:rRNA from 1 species